CCUACGGGUGGCAGCAGUGGGGAAUAUUGGACAAUGGGGGGAACCCUGAUGCAGCGACGCCGCGUGAGUGAAGAAGUAUUUCGGUAUGUAAAGCUCUAUCAGCAGGGAAGAAACUGUCGGUACCUGACUAAGAAGCCCCAGCUAAAUACGUACCAGCCGCCGCGGUAAUACGUAGGGGUAAAGUGUUAUCCGGCUUUACGUGGUGAAAAGGGAGCGUAGACGGGUCAGCAAGUCUGAUGUGAAAGGUCGGGGCCCAACCCCGGGACUGGUUUGGAAACUGGUGAACUGGAGGACAGGAGGGGUAAGCGGAAGUCCGAGUGUAGCGGUGAAAUGCGUAGAUAUUAGGAGGAACACCAGUGGCGAAGGCGGCUUACUGGACUGUAACUGACGUUGAGGCUCGAAAGCGUGGGGAGCAAACAGGAUUAGAUACCCUAGUAGUC
rnacentral:rRNA from 1 species